ACGCUGGCGAGAUGUCUAAUACAUGCAAGUCGAGCGCCCGCUUCGGCGGGAGCGGCGAACGGGUGAGUAACACGUUGGAACCUGCCCCGGACUCAGGGAUAACCACCGGAAACGGUUGGCUAAUACCGGAUAGUCCCGCAAGGGUAAAGCUUUUGCGGUUCGGGAGGGUCCUGCGGCCUAUCAGCUUGUUGGUAAGGUAACGGCUUACCAAGGCUAUGACGGGUAGCUGGUCUGAGAGGAUGACCAGUCACAGUGGGACUGAGACACGGCCCAUACUCCUACGGGAGGCAGCAGUAAAGAAUCUUUCGCAAUGGGGGAAACCCUGACGAAGCAAUCUCGCGUGAUUGAUGAAGGCCGAAAGGUUGUAAAAAUCUUUUCUGAGGGAAUAAUUCUGAAGGUACCUUAGGAAUAAGCACCGGCUAACUCCGUGCCAGCAGCCGCGGUAAUACGGAGGGUGCAAGCGUUAUCCGGAAUCAUUGGGCGUAAAGCGUCCGCAGGCGGUUUGUUAAGUUGGUUAUUAAAUCUUGAAGCCCAACUUUAAGGCUGUAACCAAAACUAGCAAACUAGAGUCUUUCAAAGGUACGUGGAAUUCUGUAUGUAGGGGUAAAAUCCGUAGAUAUACAGAGGAACACCAAAAGCGAAGGCAACGUACUGGGAAAGUACUGACGCUCAUGGACGAAAGCGUGGGGAGCGAACGGGAUUAGAUACCCCGGUAGUCCACGCCGUAAACGAUGGAUACUAGGUGUUGGGAGGAAUCGACCCCUCUCAGUGCCGACGCUAACGCAUUAAGUAUCCCGCCUGGGGAGUACGGUCGCAAGAUUAAAACUCAAAGGAAUAGACGGGGACCCACACAAGCGGUGGAGCAUCUGGUUUAAUUCGAUAAUGAGCGAGGAACCUUACCUAGGCUUGACAUCCCGAGAAUUUCCUGGAAACAGGAAAGUGCCUUCUGGAACUCGGUGACAGGUGUUGCAUGGUCGUCGUCAGCUCGUGCCUUGAGGUGUUCGGUUAAGUCCGUAAACGAGCGCAACCCAUGUCCUGUGUUGUAUAUUUCACAGGAGACUGCCCCGCCAAACGGGGAGGAAGGUAUGGAUGACGUCAGAUCAGCAUGGCCCUUAUGCCUAGGGCUACACAGGUGCUACAAUGGUCGGUAUAAUGGGCAGCAAUACUGUAAAGUGGAGCCAAUCCCUAAAACCGAUCUAAGUUCGAGUUGAGGGCUGCAAUUCGCCCUCAUGAAGUUGGAAUCGCUAGUAAACGCGGAUCAGCAAUGGCGCGUUGAAUGUGUUCCUGGGUCUUGUACUCACUGCCCGUCACACUACGGAAGGUGGGGGCGCCCGAAGU
rnacentral:rRNA from 1 species